GAUGAACGCUGGCGGUAUGCUUAACACAUGCAAGUCGUACGAAAGUUUUUAACUUUAGUGGCGGACGGGUGAGUAACACGUGAGAAUUUACCUUUAGGAGGGGGAUAACAAUUGGAAACGAAUGCUAAUACCCCAUAUGCUUUUGAGUGAAAUGAAUUUAUUCGCCUAAAGAGAAGCUCGCGGCUGAUUAGCUUGUUGGUGGGGUAAGAGCCUACCAAGGCGACGAUCAGUAUCUGGUUUGAGAGGACGAUCAGACACACUGGAACUGAGACACGGUCCAGACUCCUACGGGAGGCAGCAGUGGGGAAUUUUCCGCAAUGGGCGAAAGCCUGACGGAGCAAUACCGCGUGAAGGAAGACGGCCUAUGGGUUGUAAACUUCUUUUUUCAGGGAGGAAUUCAAUGACGUGUACCUGAAGAAUAAGCAUCGGCUAACUCCGUGCCAGCAGCCGCGGUAAGACGGAGGAUGCAAGUGUUAUCCGGAAUCACUGGGCGUAAAGCGUCUGUAGGUUGUUAAACAAGUCAACUGUUAAAUCUUGAGGCUCAACUUCAAAAUCGCAGUCGAAACUGUUUGACUAGAGUAUAGUAGGGGUAAAGGGAAUUUCCAGUGGAGCGGUGAAAUGCGUAGAUAUUGGAAAGAACACCGAUGGCGAAGGCACUUUACUGGGCUAUUACUGACACUCAGAGACGAAAGCUAGGGUAGCAAAUGGGAUUAGAUACCCCAGUAGUCCUAGCCGUAAACAAUGGAUACUAGAUGUUGAACAGAUCGACCUGUGCAGUAUCAAGGCUAACGCGUUAAGUAUCCCGCCUGGGAAGUAUGCUCGCAAGGGUGAAACUCAAAGGAAUUGACGGGGGCCCGCACAAGCGGUGGAGCAUGUGGUUUAAUUCGAUGCAACGCGAAGAACCUUACCAGGGUUUGACAUGAUACGAAUUUUUGUGAAAGCAGAAAGUGCCGU
rnacentral:rRNA from 1 species